rnacentral:lncRNA from 1 species
GGCCGCCGCGCACAAGGGCCGGCGCGAGCCCGUGGGCCAGGACGCGCUGGGCAUGAAGAACAUGGCCAAAGGGGAGAGUCUGCUGGGAGAGGUGGCCGCGGACUGGACGGACGCCGAGUGCCCCGAGGCCAAGAGGCUGAAGGUACUGCCCCCUCUUGGCCCAGCUGCAUCGGCUCUCCCACCUCCCCAGCGCCCGGGGACGGUCACGGCUCCUUGGGGGCACACGUACCCCUCGUGGGGAUGGUGGGGCUUGGCCCCCAGGGGCUCCCCGGGUGGGUGGACUGCCCCUGCCUGCCCCUCCCCAAGCAGGCUCCUCGGAGACCCCGCUUUCUCCCAGUGACCCCCAACUGAGUGCAUCCCCUGCCCUGGGGCCACACCCAGGGCCUCUAUUGUCCCUAAAAACCGGGCACCGCGCGGGCAUCUCGAUACGAGAAGCCCCGUGGGCGCGUCCCCGCCAGCUCCUGCCAGCGUCACCUCCCGAGGGUGGGCUCUGAGAACACAGGGUCCUUGUGCCGCCAGGUUGAGGAGCCCGGCGUGGGGGCCGAGGACGCUGUGGACUGCCGUCAGUGGACUCAGCACCACCUGGCUGCGGCCGACAUCCGCGUGGCACCGGCCAUGGCGCUGACACCGCCCCAGGGUGACACAGAGGCUGAUGGCAUGGAUGUCAAUGUGCGAGGCCCGGGUCAGUGAUGGUGCCCCUCCCCCAGGAUGCCCCGUCCCCAUCCGACUGGGUCUGAGUUCAGG